ACCCUAACUUAUUUUUCUAUUAUAAUUGUACAUGGUCAAUAUAUUGCAAUUGUGCAUGUAACGUCUAAGGUGUGUCCUUAAUAUGAAUUUCAUGUAGAACCCUGUUAAUUAUAUUUUAAAAUUAGAAAUACAAACUUAAUCUUUCUUGCUAGCUGUAAAUAGAGAAAUGGAAGCCGAUGAUUACACACUAUAGAUAGGGUUCAUAAGGCCCAA
rnacentral:lncRNA from 1 species